AGAACGAACGCUGGCGGCAUGCCUAAUACAUGCAAGUCGAACGAACUCUUCGGAGUUAGUGGCGCACGGGUGCGUAACGCGUGGGAAUCUGCCCCUUGGUUCGGAAUAACAGUUGGAAACGACUGCUAAUACCGGAUGAUGACGAAAGUCCAAAGAUUUAUCGCCAAGGGAUGAGCCCGCGUAGGAUUAGCUAGUUGGUGAGGUAAAGGCUCACCAAGGCAACGAUCCUUAGCUGGUCUGAGAGGAUGAUCAGCCACACUGGGACUGAGACACGGCCCAGACUCCU
rnacentral:rRNA from 1 species